rnacentral:rRNA from 1 species
UACGUAGGUGGCAAGCGUUGUCCGGAUUUAUUGGGCGUAAAGAGCGUGUAGGCGGCCAGACAGGUCCGUUGUGAAAACUGGAGGCUCAACCUCCAGACGUCGAUGGAAACCGUCUGGCUAGAGUCCGGAAGAGGAGAGUGGAAUUCCUGGUGUAGCGGUGAAAUGCGCAGAUAUCAGGAAGAACACCCGUGGCGAAAGCGGCUCUCUGGGACGGUACUGACGCUGAGACGCGAAAGCGUGGGGAGCGAACAGG